CAUCGCAAACCAAUCAGAGGGCCAGAAAUCGUCACGUUACCGUUGCCUGUCAAAACUGUUUUUGACGUCAAAAACAGUCGUAAACUUUAUCGUCCGCCGCUAGAUGUCGUCAGGGUCAGCGCAAAAAAAAACUCCAUAUUGGGACAUUUCUUUUUGCCCAACCCCCCACCCCCACACACACACACAAACAGAGGAUGAAAUAAACCAAAUAUGAUUGGAUGUUUGCAUUCCAAAACAAAACAAAAAAGUCCCUACAGGUGGAGUCAAACCAUUGGUGAUAUUGAUGUUUUCAUUCCAGUCACAAAGGACAUACAAAAAGCUAAACAAGUAAAUGUGAAAAUUGACCCUCUCCAUCUCUGGGUUGCAACUGUUGGACAUGAUGGAAGCUUUGUUUUGAUAGACCAUGAAAACAUCUAUUUUUAAAUAAAUGAUUAAACAAAAUAGGACCCAAUAUCGUGGGUGAGUCUUACGGUAAAUUUGAUAACA